rnacentral:lncRNA from 1 species
CAGCCAGGAACUGGGCUGACGUCCUCUCACUGCCAAGUGGCAGGUGAUUCGGGGUCCUGGUGGGGAACAUGUGUUUGGUUCUGCUGUUUAUUAGGGGAGGUCUCUCCAGGCUGAGAGCUGCCCGCACACCUGAGUGAACACAGCCCCAGCUGGUGGUGGACAGAGUGCCCAGUCUUUGACCCAAAGAGGCCUGGCCCUUUCUGUUACCAAGAGCUGGGGACUCUGGGGGGGGGGGGGGGGGGGGGCUUCAGGGUCUCCCUGGAAGUCAUUGAUGAGCUCUGCCUUUGGCCACCCCUAUGUUGGUAUGUUAGGUCCUAAGUCUGCCAUGAUGAAGUAGCACAAACUGGGUGACUUAAACAACAGAAAUGUAUUCUCGAAGUUCUGGAGGCUAGAAUUUCCAAAUCAAGGUUGAUUGAGGCAGGGUUGGUUCCUGAGGCUGUUUCCUGCCUCUCCCCCUGCCCCAGCUUUUGGUGGUUGCCAGCAGUCCUGUGGGUUCCUAGCUUGCAUUAAGCCAGUCUCUGCCUCCAUAGUCACAUGGCACUGUCCCCUCUGUGACCUCCGUGUCUGCUCUUCUCUUCACAGAAGGACACCAUUUCUAUCGGAUUAAGGGCCCACCUACUUCACUAUGACCUCACUUUAACUUAAUUACAGCUGCAAAAACCCUGUUUAAUAAGGUUGCAUUCUGAGGUUCCGGGAAGGACGGGGAUUUGGGGGCGGGGGGACGCUCUCCCUUGGGUUGCUCAUCCGCUUCACUCCUCCCCUGCUGUUAACUUUUCCUCCCUCUCACUCCUUUCCUCCCACUUUCCUGAGCCCAACCCCCAGCUUGAGGGGAGGGCGAGGCUGCCAUUACUGCCUGCAGCUGUAAAUUAGAAAGUGCUCUACGAAGAACUGAAUUACUUUUUACUAAUACACUCUUCCCCAUUAAGAGGCAAUCAAUUUACAACUGUGGUUUUCAUCCUUUUUUGGGGUUUCAGAGGUCUUUGGGACUGAGGAAAACCUUGAACUCUGACUCAGGAUAAAUGAACAGACAAACAGGCACAGCUCCUUAAGUGGCAAUGCUGCUUUCCCAUGCCCAUCCCUUCUUGGGUUCCAGGGGGGCCUCCUGGGGGCCAUGGGGUAUCUGCCCUAGAGCCAAAGAGGCCCAGGUCCUCUGCGCUCUGGCUCUUGGUAGUUCAGGGAGUGCCAUGUAGGGCAAGGACGGGGGAGAUUAACCUCAAUUCAGAGUGCGUGUGCACCUUGCAUGCUGGGGUGGAUAGGCAUGACUGGGGGUGUAUGGAGGGCCCAAGGAAAGGGGGGUGCUCUGAUGUGGUGUGAACAUGUUUUUUCUCUUGCCCCAAUAGUCACCACACCAGUGACACAAUUGAGAAGAGGAGCUCUGUGAUGGAUCCUUAAUAUAAUUGACCCUCCAUUAUCCGGUUUAUGUAAAAACACCCAAUUGGAGUUUCCACUGUGGUGCACCAGGAUUGGCGGUGUCUUGGGAGCACUGGGAGGCAGAUUCGAUCCCUGGUCCAGCACAGUGGAUUAAGGAUCCAGUGCUGCUGCGGCUGCAGCUUAGGUGGCAACUGCAGCUCAAAUCUGAUCCCUGGCCUGGGAACUCCAUAUGCCGCAGGCGCCUAUGUCCCCCCAAAAAAAACGCCCCCCAAAACCCAAAAAAACCAAGAACCCUAAAAAACAAUAGCAAAAAACAAAAACACCCAAGCAUUUCUUUGUGUGCAAAUACAUGUACAGAGAGUUCUUGAAGGACAAACCCCAAACAGAUAACAGUGGCUGCUGCUGGGGAGGGGUCUAGCACUAGGGACAUCGUGGGAAGAAUUUUCCUUGUUAUUCCCUUUGUUUUGGUAUGGUUUGGCUUUUUCUGGUGAGAAUGCUCUUGAAAGUUAAUUGUGUAUUCAACAACUUAAAAUCUUUUCGGAAGAAAGACUCUGGUAUUCUGGGAUUUCAGAUCCCUUUGAAUAGCUUAUGAAAUCUGUGGACUGCCUCACCCCCUGUCCUGCCCACCGUGAGCAUCCUCAGCCUGGGGGGAGGGCCAGACCCCCAGCCCUGAAGCUGAGCCAGCUCCUUCCGGUGGAGAAGGCCACCUGCUGCCACCAGUCAGGCUACAGGGCUUUCCUUUCCCCUGUCCCCACUCCACACCCAGUCCCCCUGCAAAUUCCAGCCUAAGUCUUCUCUGGGUCAGGGAUUCUCAAACAAGUGGCAUCAGAAUCACCUCCUGCGAUACUUUGAGUCACUGCUCUAGGUAAAAGGGAGGGUCAGGCUUUACCUGGCUCCAGAGAGGGGCUCCAUGCUAAAAGAAAAGCUUACCCCCUUACCCUUGUGGUGGCAUGGAGGACAGUACCCUGGGGAUCACUUGGGUGCAGGAAGAAGGGCAAAAUCUCCUGGGGGUCAGGAGAUGCUGAGAUGGGUUGUGAUAGUCUCGGCUGGAAGGGACCACCCCCCCCCUAGAGAUUAUCCCCCUCCACCUACGGACUGAGGAUCCAGGGGUGAGGCAGGAGUGGCUUCUCCCAAGUGGUCAGCCUGCCAGGGUCUCAGAGCACUGAUCCUCAGCCUGUGUCUUCUCUGCACUGAGAUGAGGCUGGGCUACAAGGCGGGGGAGGGGCAGGGGAGGGACGCAAGGUGGGGGAGCCUCCGUGCCUGGCUUCCCCUUCCUCUCUUCCAGGCUCUGCAGGUCUCCAGUAUGAAGAGGGCGGGUCUCACCUCACUCUCUCCUCAAGGGAUUUGACUGAACAAACUGGGUGUCCCUGGCACCUGACCCAGCACCUGGCAUGGAGUCAGGAAGGGGAGAAAGGAAGGAGGGUGCUCAGCCCCACCCCCCUGCCAAGGUCCUUUCCCAUUCCUUCCCUUUCUGCAGCUUCUCUUCCUGCAAGUCCCAGUUCUCCCUGUAUCCCCAGGGCUGUGGGGUUUGUUUUUAUUCCCUGCAGUGAAUGCAUCCCAGCCUGGGAGUAUUUUUGUCUUAAAAGAGGACUCACAACAACCCCCGGGAUGGAAUGCAGGGCCUCAGGACAGGCAAGGUUGUACAAGGGGCAGAGGGAUCCCUCAAGCCUACAUCAGAUGAACCCUCCCACAUCUCUCCUCAGGCCCCAGGGGGUAUCAUCAAGAUGCAGGUUCCCUGGGGGCUUGCCUUGGGGAAGUGCCCUUGGUGCCACCACCCCCUGUAGGUGGGUGACUCUUCUGGGGAUGAGCCCAGCUACCAUUUUGGGCAUCUCAGCCUGCCAGGGGAGAGAUGAAAGGAGGCCAAAGGUGCCAAAUUCUUCCAGUAGUUGGAGAUAACAACCCUCACCAAACUGAGGUGGUGGCAGCCUUGGCUACCUGCCAGCUGGUGACGUGUCGUGAAAGGGCCUGAACAGGAGAGUCAGAUCUGCCCUUGGGAAACUCAGUGAGAGGUGCAGCCUGAUACUCCCCUGUCUCCCACUUCCCUUCACUUGCUGGUGGUAGGCAGUGACCUUUGGAGGGACAGGGACACACGGGGCAGUUGCAACCCAGUAAGGCCCAACAGCACCAGUGACUUCUUAGGAGACAAGUUGCACAACUUCUUCUUGGGCCUUGCCCCCUCCUCCUCUGUAAAGUCAGCAGGACAGUGAGCCCCCAGAACUGCCCCCUCCCCACAACCGUGCCUGCUCUGUGCCAGCCGGGCCCUGGGACACAAAGAGAACAGGUCCCGGCUCCCACAUAAGGGGCUCCAGGUGGCAAAAGGCAAUUUCAGUACAAUGGGUUGUGAGAGCUGAGUUCAGGGAACACCAGGAAGGAAGCAACCCCUCCUGGAAAUGCCACUCCUUUCACAGCCAACUGGGUCCUCGACCUCUGUUCUCCCAUUUAAUUAAUACCAGCUCCAGUUCGCCAAGCUCUGGCAUUCAGAGGUGGGCUGCCCUGAAUCCCCCAUCCUCUGUGGUCCAACACAGGGAGACUGUGAAGCCAUUUAACAGAAAAAGAAACUGAGGGAGAGGUUAGUUCAGGAGCUGGCCCUGGCCACAUACCUUCUACUUAAUUAACUCUUUGUCUCAUUGCGGUGAGGUCCCCACUCCUUAAGGUCUGGCCUCCACUCUCUUCUCUGUUCUCUUUCUGGCCUCCCUCCCCGCCACCCCAUAGCUGCACAUCCUCCCACACAUUCAGCUGCCGUCUCCCUUUUCUGGAGCAGAGGCUCUAGCACGCUCUAGAUUGGCCUCCAUUGUUCCUUCUCCACCUGCUGGGUACCUCUAUCCAGGCAUCUUGCCAGCACCCCAGCCCUGCUGUGCCUAAGCCCACCAUCUCUUCCAGAUGUCUCUCUGACUGUUAAUGGUGCCCCCUGCUCCUGGUCACCUGGGUCCCAAGGCAUCUUCUCUGCCUCCAUCCAGAACCCGCCCCCCGCCCCCCAGUGCUCUACAGCAUGGCAGAGGCAGAGGGGACAGUGACAUCCCACUCAGAACCUUUUGGCUGCAAGUGACAGAAAAUUUCUAUGUGAACUGCUUUGGGUAGAGCUAGUCUCAGACACAGCUGAAUCCAGUGGUCAGGGGGGCACCUUCAGAUCUUGUUCUUCAGCUCAGUACUCACCAUGGGGUUUGGCAAAUUGUCUAUUCGCGCAGGCCUACACCCCAUAAGGAUGAGCCAAAGAGAGUGAUUCUUGUCCUGGUAGAUCUCACACAAGCCCUGGGAUUUUCCCUUUCUGCAUCAACUGGAGUCAUGUGCACAGUCACUGGGGCCAGGAGGAUUCAGUGCUCUUACUGGCCAGGUUGGGUCUUGGGUUCCAGCAGAACCACACAGACAGAGCACUGUUACUAAAGAAGUCUUUAAGAUGCCCAGGGGCUCCACGAAAUAUGUCCCUUCCAAAUUUGUGGCAUGCAGGGGAAGAAGAGAAGCAGCCCAAUUUGUUCUUGGUGGCCAUUACUAGGUAAGAGUCAUACCCAGAGAGUCUAAGCAUUGAGCCUCAGAAUUCAGAGCUGGGUUAAGCCUUGAUUACAUUGCUGAUUGACUAGGGGAUACAUGGGCAAUCCCCCAAAUUUCUGUGGUUAACACAAUACAAGUUUAUUUCUUUCCAUGCUGUAUGUCACAUGUGGGCAGUGGGGGGACUCUGCUCUACACAGUCACUUAGGGACCAGAUGGUUGGAGGUGCCAUCUGCACACCUCCACCCUUUCAUGUUGGGGGAAAGGAGAUACUGGAGAAUCCUGCCUGGGCUUUUCACUGUCUCCACUUGGAAGUGACAGAUAUCCCUUCCACUCUUAUUUCUUGGGCUAGAACUAGUCACAGCCUGACAGAAAGAGGGUGGGAAACAAAGGGAAGCCAAUGGAGUAUUUGGAAAGAAUUACUAUUGUUGUCAUAUCCACUGGUUAGCUAUGUCUCCUUAGACAAGUUGCUUACCCUCUCUGUAUCUCAGAGUCCACAUCUGUUAACUGAGAAUUACAAUUGUUCCUUUCUUACAGGGCAGCGUCAGGAUUAGAUCUGUUUCUAUAUGUAAGUGUCUCAGACAAGUGCCUGGCACAUAGAAACAGCUUGAUUAAAGGUUAAAGGGUAUCAAUAUUGCCUCUCCUUAGGGUCUCUUCUAUACAUACGACCCCCCUCCCCCAAUAAGAAUGACGUGAUCAAACAUCAUUCACUGAUAUUCUGAUCUAAGACAAGAACUUAGAACUGAGGAGUUUUUUAUGUUAGUAUCUUUGAACCUUCCAAUAAGACAGAUUCUUGCUUACUUCUGGGGACCCCUAAGGUAGUUAUGCCUAUAUUAAACUUACCACUGCCUACCACAGUGGUCAAAAUAACCUACCUAUUUUAAAGAUUUACAUCAGAAAACUCAAAAAAUUCACUCCACUGAAGUUGGAAACCCUUAUCCCCAGUCCUUGUGCGCUGACUGCUCCAGAUCUGCCUACAGUGUCUCUUUGGGGUCUUGCUGAAGGCAUUCAUUUGGGGGAGAUUUGGUGUUACAGCUACGUUUGGGCACAGAUGGUCUUUCCCAGGCAAAGUGGCAGGGGAGAGGCACAAGCCUAUGCGUGAUUGUGUUGGUCCACUGCAAACAAGGUUCUCUUGUUUGACCCUUCAUUCAUUUUUCAUUAAAUAAAUAAUUCUUAAUGACCUACGAUGUGCUGGGCCUGUGCAAAUUACUAGAAUUCAGAGGUGAAUAAGGAAGAUCUGUCUAAAUGGAGAGUGGGAACCACAAACAGCAACAGGGAAAGAAGUAAAGAUCUUUGGGAACUGAAAACUACAUAC